rnacentral:rRNA from 1 species
UAUUCCUACGGGGGGCAGCAGUGGGGAAUAUUGCACAAUGGGGGAAACCCUGAUGCAGCAACGCCGCGUGAGUGAGGAAGUAUUUCGGUAUGUAAAGCUCUCUCAGCAGGGAAUAGAAAAGAAGGUACCUGAAAAAGAAGCCCCGGCUAACUACGUGCCAGCAGCCGCGGUAAUACGUAGGGGGCAAGCGUUAUCCGGAUUUACUGGGUGUAAAGGGAGCGUAGACGGCAGAGCAAGUCUGAAGUGAAAGCCCGCGGCCCAACUGCGGGACUGCUUUGGAAACUGCCCGGCUAGAGUGCUGGAGG